rnacentral:rRNA from 1 species
CAGCCGCCGCGGUAAUACGGAGGGUGCAAGCGUUAUCCGGAUUUAUUGGGUUUAAAGGGUCCGUAGGCGGAUCUGUAAGUCAAUGGUGAAAUCUCACAGCUUAACUGUGAAACUGCCAUUGAUACUGCAGGUCUUGAGUAAAUUUGAAGUGGCUGGAAUAAGUAGUGUAGCGGUGAAAUGCAUAGAUAUUACUUAGAACACCAAUUGCGAAGGCAGGUCACUAAGAUUUAACUGACGCUGAUGGACGAAAGCGUGGGGAGCGAACAGGAUUAGAUACCCCGGUAGUCCCUGUCUCUUAUAC